GAAAAAGGGAAUAGAGAUAGAGGGCUCAGCUUUUUCCCAGAAAGGGCUGCAAACUAACAACUUCAGGUAGAGCAGACUAAGAGCCAGCUGUGGAUACGGCUAAAGGACCAGAGCUAAUACUAAAACUUGUGUCAUGGGCCAAAAGGCCUGUUCCAUGCAUGAAGCUGCAUCAGUCCAGAAUCAUGUGCAACAGUGGGACUGAAAGCCAUUUUGACAAAAAGUUAAAUGCAUGGGAGACCGCACAGCAUUUUUGUCUUGGUUGUCAUUGUGAAUGGAGCCUGGCAGCAGCAAGAAAUAUUGAAAUCCCUGAUGUAUUUCUGUUGUUUCUUCAAGAGGGACCAUCCCUUCCAGUAAUGAAAAAUCUUCCAAAAAU